rnacentral:rRNA from 1 species
UGGGGAAUCUUAGACAAUGGGCGCAAGCCUGAUCUAGCCAUGCCGCGUGAGUGAUGAAGGCCUUAGGGUCGUAAAGCUCUUUCGCUGGGGAAGAUAAUGACUGUACCCAGUAAAGAAACCCCGGCUAACUCCGUGCCAGCAGCCGCGGUAAUACGGAGGGGGUUAGCGUUGUUCGGAAUUACUGGGCGUAAAGCGCGCGUAGGCGGAUUGGAAAGUUGGGGGUGAAAUCCCGGGGCUCAACCCCGGAAUUGCCUUCGAAACUCCCAGUCUUGAAGUCGAGAGAGGUGAGAGGAAUUCCGAGUGUAGAGGUGAAAUUCGUAGAUAUUCGGAGGAACACCAGUGGCGAAGGCGGCUCACUGGCUCGAUACUGACGCUGGGGUGCGAAAGCGUGGGAGCAAACAGGA